AGCUCAUCAUUUCGUUUAUUUCACCGUCACAGUUUAUACCCAGCAUGGCUUCAGUUCAUCUCCCACUAAAACACUACAAUUGCCAACACAGAAAGGAAACAGUGUAGAGGAAUGCAAUCAACAAAGAGAGAGAAAAAAAGGUGAAGAGAUCGUUGUUGACUAUAGAUCUAAAUGAUGUCUAGUAACAGAGUAUCCAACAAUACAAUGCUCUAACUCAUACAAUGCAUUGAACACAUAACAAACUAACUAAAAUACUGUUUGAAGCAGCUGCCAACUCAAAGUUUAAAAAAAAAAGAAAGCAUAUCAUGGUAUCGUUACUCUCUUCAUGUCACUUCUAGAAAGAGAUCUAGACAUCACUGACACUACAUAUCACAACGUUAAAAAAAAUAAAGUGCUAAAAUAACAGACAGAGACAGUGCAACAGAAACAUGAACAGUUUCAACUGGACAUUUGGAUUAGCAACAGUAACAAAAGGGUGUCAGUAGCAUUACCAUGACAAACAAACAUCACAUUUACCCUUAUCUUGUAAAUAAAGUAGACUUUUUAAUAGGUCUAAAAGUAGAUCAAUUUCAAAUUGCAACUAGAGUCUAAGUAGCCUACCACAAACAUGUCAACUCAAGUUUCUAAUGACAGCAGUCCACUGAAACAUACACAUAAAAUAUAUUUUUAAAAGUCCUAUGUGGCAACUUAUCAUAUUGGCUUGUAAUGAACUUAAGCCUUAUAACCGGACUUUUCUUUAAACAUCACAUAGUGUCAAGAUUGUCAGUUUCUGUUUUAAAUAAUAAACCUUGAUUUAGACAGAUAAUGACAUUUAUUAAAGGCAUGUAACCUUACAAACCCUGUACAGUCUCAGAGAGCAGAUUAUACUUUUCUCAACAUAACAACAAUCCAAAUUUAAAUAAGAAAGAGAUUGUUAGGUUAGGAUAAAAGCUAAGUUACCAAUCUACAGGUCCGAAUGUAUUGCCAAGAUUUGAGUGAAUUACCGGUGACAAUUACAAGGCAUUUGUCACCCUUAAUGUCAAUAGAUUUAAUAGAAGGAUGUAACUCUUGGUGCUAUAAAAAAGUUUGAAAGAGAUAAAAAGUUUACAAAUAGAGAAAACUGAAUGUACAAUGCAGUAUAAGAAUAUCUGUCAUUGUGGAUUGCUUAUCAUUUUUUCAUUAUCAUUGACUAACAACAUUAAACCCGUAUAAGCUUUCUAUUGAAGUAAGGGAGACUUCCAUUAAUCCAAUGAUCAAUAUAUGCAGAGCUGGUAACUAGUUUAAGUGUUUACAAUUGUACACAUUUUAUAUUCAUGUUUAAGAAGAGAAAAAAAACAA